rnacentral:rRNA from 1 species
GUUUGAUCCUGGCUCAGGACGAACGCUGGCGGCGUGCUUAACACAUGCAAGUCGAACGAGAGUUUUUAACUCUAGUGGCGGACGGGUGAGUAACACGUGAGAAUCUACCCUAAGGAGGGGAAUAACAGCUGGAAACGGUUGCUAAUACCCCAUAUGCCGAAAGGUAAAAGGAUUUAUCCACCUUAGGAAGAGCUCGCGCCUGAUUAGCUAGUUGGUGGGGUAAAGGCCCACCAAGGCCAUGAUCAGUAGCUGGUUUGAGAGGACGAUCAGCCACACUGGGACUGAGACACGGCCCAGACUCCUACGGGAGGCAGCAGUGGGGAAUUUUGGACAAUGGGCGCAAGCCUGAUCCAGCCAUGCCGCGUGCGGGAAGAAGGCCUUCGGGUUGUAAACCGCUUUUGUCAGGGAAGAAAAGGUUCUGGCUAAUACCUGGGACUCAUGACGGUACCUGAAGAAUAAGCACCGGCUAACUACGUGCCAGCAGCCGCGGUAAUACGUAGGGUGCGAGCGUUAUCCGGAAUUAUUGGGCGUAAAGAGCUCGUAGGCGGUUUGUCGCGUC